ACAACCCUACGAUGCGCGUGACUCGCCGUUUAAGUAUUGAGCCAACACCAAUACUUAGGGAAUCCUGCUCUGGCUGUAGCUUGUAAGCCUCCUGGGAGAGGACACAAAAAGCAGUUGGGGGGAUACCCACCCUGUUGAGACAGGUUCAAAACACACGGCCUCACGGCAUAAGUGGGGUAUUU
rnacentral:other from 1 species